CGCGCAGGCGGUUCUUCAAGUCAGAGGUGAAAGCCCAGAGCUCAACUCUGGAAUGGCCUUUGAGACUAGAGAACUAGGGUACGGGAGAGGUGAGUGGAAUUCCGAGUGUAGAGGUGAAAUUCGUAGAUAUUCGGAAGAACACCAGUGGCGAAGGCGGCUCACUGGCCCGUUACCGACGCUCAGGCGCGACAGCGUGGGAGCAAACA
rnacentral:rRNA from 1 species